GAUCAUUCGUCCUGCCAACCGAGUGGAAGUAAUGAGCGGGGUUGUGACAACGUAUCAAAGCAUAAUGCUUUGGGUGUAAUAGGCUCAUACCCCAAAACCCCAUGUAACACGCCAUCAUGAAGGAACCCCACUCUAUAACGUGGUCACCAUGGAUUUUCUUGCCCACUAACCGAGGAAAACCCUCCGAUGCAAAGGAUAAGGUAUAGGGGAGUAAGGUAGAGAGGAAUAGUUGGAAGUGGGUGGUUGGUAGGUAGGAGAAUCGAUUGAUCGAUUGAUCGAUCGAUCGACAAAAAUGUUCAUACAACGGUCGCCUUUUUUUUUUCUUUUCAUGUAAACAAUGUUCAAACUAUCACCUUUUCGUUUAACCCUGUCUUGCCCUACCUUUAUUGAUUAUUUUUCUUA